CUAUAUUGUUGACUAAGCGACAUUCUAAACCGAACUUCGCUCAGAAUAGUCUUUCGUUAGCUGCAAUGGUUGCGCACGAAUUUCCAUUCUACCUUCCCAAGUUCUUAUCUACAACAGUGACCCACCCAUGUGCACUUGGCCCAAUAAGGUCGCCAAUCGUUCUAUAUUGGGCAGGAUUGUCCUCUCUCUCUUGAUUAAUACAAGGCCUAUAUAUAUUUGAUUUGCCCUACAUCAAACAACGCUUUAAACUUCAAUCGUCAGUCCUGCAUUUCAAAUGUCAAUAUAGCCAAUAUAGGCAUACAGACUUUAAAAGACUAUAACCAUGAGAAAUAUCAUUUAUAGUUCAUUAUUAUAUGUUUUGAUUGUUUUAAGUUUUCAUUUAUGUACUCAUGUACCUACUACCUAUUAUGGUAUAAUUUAACUAUUUAAGACAGUUACUCUCGAGUCGCCCCCCCCCCAAAAUUCAGGUAGGUGACCUUUUUUCACUUGAAUUUCAUCCGGGUAUUUUCGGAGGCGAUUCGAGUAUACUCGAAAAAUAUUAUUUUUAUCAUUUAUAAUAACGUAUACAUAUUAUAGUAUUUCCCAGACAGAUUAAUUUUUCGAAUGCGAUCUUAUCGAUAACUG